rnacentral:rRNA from 1 species
GACGAACGCUGGCGGCGUGCCUAAUACAUGCAAGUCGAACGCUUCUUUCCUCCCGAGUGCUUGCACUCAAUUGGAAAGAGGAGUGGCGGACGGGUGAGUAACACGUGGGUAACCUACCCAUCAGAGGGGGAUAACACUUGGAAACAGGUGCUAAUACCGCAUAACAGUUUAUGCCGCAUGGCAUAAGAGUGAAAGGCGCUUUCGGGUGUCGCUGAUGGAUGGACCCGCGGUGCAUUAGCUAGUUGGUGAGGUAACGGCUCACCAAGGCCACGAUGCAUAGCCGCCCGGAGAGGGGGCUGGGCAACCUGGGGACGGAGCCACGGCCCAGACUCCUACGGGAGGCAGCAGUAGGGAAUCUUCGGCAAUGGGCGAAAGUCUGACCGAGCAGCGCCGGGGGAGUGAAGAAGGUGUUCGGAUCGUAAAACUCUUUUGUUGGGGAAAAACAAGGGCGUAAGAAACUAAGCGCCCCGUGACGGUAUCUAACAAGAAAGCCACGGCUAACUACGUG